CACAAAAAUAAUAUCCACUGGUUUUCUUUUAUAAUAUCAUCCAACUAAAGUGACACAUUUUGAAGCAGCCUAGUUAUUAAAAUGCAGCUUUAUGCUGGUAUGAAUGUCACUUAUUUUUAAAAGGAAAGUAAUUUUACAUGAUUUUCUCUCUUAUUUUUUGUCCUGAUGAUACCGGGAGAUCUGUGAUUCAGGGACUCCUUCAAAUGGUCUUGUCCCUUCUACCAUGCUACUUUAAAUGAAGACUGAAAGCUUUUAGAAUCCUUCUUCCCAGGGGAACUCAUGAAAUGUCAAAUGGUCACAUCAGCCACUUGGACUAGCCUGGGAAUGAAGACUUAAUUUGGUCAUGGGAAUAGUAGAUAAAUAUUUCCUUGAAGUUCUUUCACCAUCCUGGUCUUUCUCCUCUGAAAACAUUCCAUCAUGUUGUGUCAUUGUCCAAAAUGGAACACUCACUGAACUGAACUCAAUUUAUCAGGGAUAUCAUUUAGUGCUCUUAGUGUCCCAAGUGGUAGAAAACCAAAUUUAUGUGAUUUAACACUGAAGAGAGGUUGUGAGUUCAUAUUAUCUAAAAGAAAUUGGAUGGGCUUCAGAUGAAGCUUGAUCCAGAAGUUCAGACAGUGUCACCAAGUUUUCAACUCUUCUCUUCUCUCCGUACUAUAAUCAGUGUUGGCUUCAGCAGGUCUGGCAGGUCUGGACUCUCCAGUUAUGUUAUCUAAAGACCAGUUCUGUAUCUCUCAUCUUCAUACCACAUGUUCCAGAGGGAGCCACGAGGCUCUAGUAAACCUAACAAGAGCCCAUUCCUAAAGCUAGUAGAGGCAUCAAUCCUACCCAAAUCUCAUGGUUGAGAAUGGGAAGGAGGAAAUUCAGCAUUCUGUUGCUAGGGAAAGGGAGGAAUGCAUUCUGAGCAGUAAAAAACAUGGGUCGACUAUUCCAGGUGUGUUCUGACCAAUGCACAGUAAGUAUGACUCUUAACUCCCCUAAACAGUGUUAUCUAAUGGAACUUUCUGCGAUCCUGGAAAUGUUCUAUAUUCAUGCUAAUACAGUAGCCACCUAACCACACGUGACUAUUGAGUACAUGAAAUGUGGCUAAUGUGACUAAGAACUGGGUUUUUUACAUUGUUUAAAUUAAACUUAAUUUAACCUAAAUAAGUUAACAUGGCUAGGGGUUGCCAUAUUGUACAGCACAGUUAUAGAGACUUUUGUUUCCAUUAAAGCAACUGAAGAUCACAUUUGUUUUUUGGCAGGCACAUAAUAUUAUUUAUAGUACAUAAUGGAGCUUAUUAUCAACAAAAUUCCAUAGCUUUUUUUUCUAUUUAUGAGUAUACUGAGUCAUGUCUUUGUCAUUCUGUACAUUUGCAAUUAAUAAUUUAGACCUAAAUGAAAGAUUUCACAUUUAUGCCAGCUUGGAUUAUGGGGCAUCCCCAACCUUAAAGAAAUGUUUUAUCCUGAUAUUUUUUUCCACAAUAUUACUUGGUCACCAACCUUAUGUUGGCCUCUGUCAUAAAGGGAAUCUAACCUAUAGCAACACUUUUUUUUUUUUUUAAUCUUGAGGAUUAUAAAUGGCUUUCAAGAGUCUGUGACACUUCUGAAAUUACAUGUAGAUUUUUGUGUGCUUCUUUUUUUUUUUUUUUUAAAGAAAGAUCCCAGUGCCUUCAUUAAAUUUUCAAAGUUUAAAGUCAAUAAUCAAGAAUUUGUGUCUUUGCACAAAUUAUUAAACCAAGGCAGGAAUCUGUGGCCUGCUGUUAAAAAUGGUCCUCCCGAUAAAUACCAGUGUUUUCCCCAGGCUCUGUGUCUAGUUCCCUAGACCAGAAAAAUAGUGAGUUUCUUUCCUUUUUUUGUUUUUUUUUAGCUUUAGUUGCCCUGCCCUGCGCCAAAAGUGCUGCCCAUUGUAAGGCAAAACCACUAAAGUCAGAAAUUUAAAGUUUUGACUUCAAAAUGGACUUCCAAAAUCUCCCAAUUCUUGUUCACUAAGCAUUGCAUCGAGCAGGAAUAUCAAUGAAGCAAGAUACAAAGUGAAACUAUGUCCACUAGUGCCAUUCUUGGAGCACCUGAUGGUCCCAGGGUAGGCUUUCCUUUCAGAGCUCCUGCAGGGUUUGAAGAGGAAGACCGCAGGGCAAAGUGCCCUUCUCAUGACAGGAUAUUGCUGUUCUCAUCACAACUUUGGGCUCUGCUAUGAUAGAAGAGCUACACUAUAAUGGUUCUGAAGUCAGAUGGCCUGACUUCAUACCCUGGCCCAACUACCUAUACACACAUGACCUCA